CAGUAGCCACGGUAAUACGGAGGGUGCAAGCGUUAAUCGGAAUUACUGGGCGUAAAGGGCGCGUAGGCGGUUUGGCAAGUUUGGUGUGAAAUCUUCGGGCUCAACUCGAAGUCUGCACCGAAAACUGCCGGGCUUGAGUAUGGGAGAGGUGAGUGGAAUUUCCGGUGUAGCGGUGAAAUGCGUAGAUAUCGGAAGGAGCACCUGUGGCGAAAGCGGCUCACUGGACCAUUACUGACGCUGAGGCGCGAAAGCUAGGGGAGCAAACAGGAUUAGAUACCCCUGUAGUCCCUGUCUCUUAACA
rnacentral:rRNA from 1 species